rnacentral:tRNA from 1 species
AGCUUAGUGGCCGAAUGGUAAAGCGCUGGUGGCGGAGCCAGAGGGUCCUGGGUUCGAUCCCCGAUGGGGUCG